AGUUCUGCGUAGAGCUGAAACUGGGAAACGAAGAAAGGUGCUCUGGUGUGGUAGUUGCCAGCUACCUAGCCCACCACGGGGCCAACUUUUACUGUAAAAACAAAAUUGGCAGAACACCAUUGGACCUAAUAAAAAAGGAAAAUUUAAAAAAGAUGUUAAAGACGUUAUUCCCACCGCAGUAAGUAUUCACUGGCAAUGACAAGAUAAACCAUUACAUUUUCUGUUUUGUAUAUAACCGUGUUUAUAUGUUUAUAUUGUUUUAAUUCGACUGAUACAUUAUACUGCUUUAGAGGCUUAAUGAAAGGUUAGACAACAACAGUAAGAAGAACAAUAAACAAUAUGCAGAUGUUAAGAUAAUUAAAAGAAAGGACACUAUUUUGAUUACAUUCAAAUGAUUGGUUGCGUUGACUGUUAUACCUCUCCUAAAAUCCCCACCCACCCCUCUCAAUUCCCUAUUUUAAAGAUUUGGGACCAAUGAGAAAAUGUAGAAGUAAAUAGUGAAGUGAUGGAAUUUAUAUCUCUACCAACAGAUUAUUCCUCUGUCUUCUCUGUCCCAGCCAGUCAUGUCCAUGUGAGCUAUCCUGAGAAAAUCGCCUACAAACACAUACAAUUAGUGUACAUACACGAAUACAUACAUACAUACGUAUUUAUACAUACAUGCAUACGUAUUUAUACAUGCAUACAUAGAUACAUACAUACAUAUAUAUAUAUAUAUAUACAUAUAUAUACAUAUAUAUAUAUAUAUAUAUAUAUAUAUAUAUAUAUAUAUAUAUAUAUAUAUAUAUAUAUAUAUAUAUAUAUACUGUGGGGAGGAAAUAAAUAUUCGUCUGUCAAAAUUCUUUAUUUAAUUUCUAAUGAACAUAAAUGGGAUAUACCAAUACUAUAUUCACAUACACAUGCAUCAACUAAGAAUAUGCAAAAGAAACUAAUAAAUUAUAGUAACUAAGGAAUUUAUAUACAAUCAUAAAUAUUUAGGGGUGAAAAAAGUAUUCGUACAGAAUAAAUGUAUGAUUUUCUAUGCCACAAAAUACUGUUAAAAUAUUUUUUUACUAGAAAUUUCUUGUUUAUUCCAAUAAUCUUAGUUUUCAUUUUUGAGUGUCAAAACACUAGCUUCUUCAUUCAACACUGAGACAACAUAAAGUAAUAUCGCAAUAAUGGCGAAAAGUAAAGAACUCACAAAUUCAGAGAAAAACUUAAUUAUUGAACUGUAGAAAGUAGGUAAAAGUUACAGGAAAAUAUCAGAGACACUUUGUAUUCCGCUUACUACCAUAUCUUCAUUUAUUCAAAGAUAUAAGGAAUCAGGAACUGUUGAAAACAGAAUAAGAUCCGGAGCACCACGCAAGAUUUCCCCAAGAUCUUUAAGAAAAAUGAAGAGAAGAAUAUAAAAAAACGCAAUAAUCACCAGAAAGGAGUUUUCAUAGGAAUGAACUGAAGUCACGCUCUCCUAGAAAAACUCCUCUGUUGACUAAAAGGCAUAGAGAUGCCCGUUUAAAAUUUGUUAUGAACAUAAAGAUAAAUCUGAUACAUUCUGGGAAAAUGUUCUAUGGACAGACGAGACGAAAAUUGAAUUGUUUGGACGAAAUUCGCUUACCCAUGUUUGGAGUAAAAACACAAUUCCUACCGUAAAGAUUGGAGGUGUGGGGGUGUUUCUCUGCAAAUGGUACUGGCAAUUUACAUGUGAUAGAUGGUAGAAUGAAUGCAGAGAUGUACCAAAAUAUUUUGAACAAUAAUUUAUGGGGCUCUAUUGAAAAGCUCCAGCUUUGUGAAGGGUGGGUUUUACAACAGGGUAAUGGCCCUAAGCACACGGUGAAGUCUACCAUAUAUGGAUUGUCAAUCACAAUAUAAAAUUAUUGUAAUGGCCAAGCCUGUCACCUGACUUGAACCCCAUUGAAGAGCCCCAACAUGCAUUACAGAUUUGAAGAAAAUUUGUCAAGAAGAAUAGGAAAAUAUUCCUAAAGAAACAUGCGAGUCAUUGGUGAAGAACUACAAGAAGAGAUUGGUUGAAGUGGAACUGAAUAAUGGUUAUGCUACGAAGUAUCAAAUCAAAAUUAUCAGUUAUUUAUAUUCUGUACGAAUACUUUUUUCACCCCUAAAUAUUUAUAAUUGUAUAUAAAUUCCUUAGUUACUAUAAUUUAUUAGUUUCUUUCGCAUAUUCUUAGUUUAUGCAUCUGUAUGCAAAUAUAUAAUAGUGGUAUAUCCCAUUUAUGUUCAUUAGAACUUAAAUAAAGAAAGAAUUUUGACAUUUACGAAUAUUUAUUUCCCCCGUGUAUAUAUAUAUAUAUAUAUAUAUAUAUAUAUAUAUAUAUACAUAUACGCACACACACACACACAAACACACACACACACACACACAUAUAUAUACAUAUAUAUAUAUAUAUAUAUAUAUAUAUAUAUAUAGGGAGAGUUAACGAAAAAAACAAAAGACGAUGACAGGUGGUGUUGAAGGAAUAGAAAAAACCUUUUACGUUUCGAGCCUUCGCUCUUCUACAGAAAGGGACACGGAAAAAAAAACAAGGAUAGAAACAAGGAGAGAAAAAAAUGUGUGUAGCGGCUAACAAUCUAUCAUGGCGACUGACUCGGACACACACACACACACACACACACACAUAUAUAUAUAUAUAUAUAAGUGAAUUAUAUUUCUGGAAUAUAUGUUGUUCACUUUGUGUAAAUCAGUUUUUGUGAUGUAUCAAUGUCAAUAUACUUAUUAAUAUUUGUGUCCAUUUAUAUAUAUAUAUGUGUGUAUGUGUGUGUGUAUCUGUGUCUGUGUCUGUGUGUCUGUGUCUGUGUCUGUGUGUCUGUAUCUGCAUUUAUAUACUCACAAAUUCGCCCAUAUGUAAUUGUUUAAUUGUGGUGUCGCAUAAUAUUCUCUACUGUAAAUUAGAGUGUCUCUGUGUAACGAAAUGUAUCUUGCUAUUUAUUCCACAGCCAUGAUGGAGGAAGACGCAUGGAUCAGGCACUGAAGGGACCAAUCAGGUAGUUGAACUAUUUCUCACAGUCUUUCAGUCAUAGAAUAACAAUGUACCUUGUAAUGACCUGAGAUCAAUCUGAAGUUUGUGGUGCAGUGAUGGCAGAUGGAAACAUGACAUUUACUGCAUUCAACUCAUCACUUUUGAAAAUAAUUCCCUGGUUAUGUACACACAUAUCGUAUAUAAAUCUAAAGUCAUUACUCUAAUUUAGAACAAUGACCUGUUUUGUGUCAUGGAUCAGCCAUACAUAAAGCUGUAGGAAUUGUGUCCUAUCUGUCCAUCCAUAAAAUUCAAAGUCAAAUGUCUAAGUAUAGACGACUUCUAAAACAGAUUAGAUACAAUCAAGUGUUAUAUGUAUGCAUGUAUGUAUGCAUGUAUGUAUGUACGUACGUACGUACGUACGUAUGUAUGUAUGUAUGUAUGUCUAUAUAUACACACACACACAUACAAUUUAUAUAUAUUUAUAUAUAUAUAUAUAUAUAUAUAUAUAUAUAUAUAUAUAUAUAUACAUACAUUCAUACAUAUAUACAUACAUACAUAUAUAUCACCUUGACCGACCAGUCCGUCGGGCAUCCAUUUGACACCGCUGGUCACAGCACGCUGUCCACUCCUCUCUGGAUCGCACCUUCCUCAUCCACGUGAUCCCAAUCGUCCUCCUGAAAUCGUUACUCCACCGUCGUGGAGGCCUUCCGGGUGGUCGUUUCCGCUCGCGCGGGUACCACUCGACAACUGCGCGUGUCCACAGAUUUUCGGUGAGCUGGGCGAUGUGUCCAGCCCAUCUAAACAUAUGUAUGUAUGUAUGUAUGUAUGUGUGUGUGUAUGUGUAUGUAUAUAAGUGAAUUAUAUUUCUGGAAUAUAUGUUGUUCACUUUGCGUAAAUCAGUUUUUGUGAUGUAUCAAUGUCAUGACAUAUACUUAUUAAUAUUUGUGUCCAUUUAUAUAUAUAUAUGUGUGUAUGUGUGUGUGUAUCUGUGUCUGUGUCUGUGUGUCUGUGUCUGUGUGUCUGGGUCUGCAUUUAUAUACUCACAAAUUCGCCCAUAUGUAAUUGUUUAAUUGUGGUGUCGCAUAAUAUUCUCUACUGUAAAUUAGAGUGUCUCUGUGUAACGAAAUGUAUCUUGCUAUUUAUUCCACAGCCAUGGUGGAGGAAGACGCAUGGAUCAGGCACUGAAGGGACCAAUCAGGUAGUUGAACUAUUUCUCACAGUCUUUCAGUCAUUGAAUAACAAUGUACCUUGUAAUGACCUGAGAUCAAUCUGAAGUUUGUGGUGCAGUGAUGGCAGAUGGAAACAUGACAUUUACUGCAUUCAACUCAUCACUUUUGAAAAUAAUUCCCUGGUUAUGUACACACAUAUCGUAUAUAAAUCUAAAGCCAUUACUCUAAUUUAGAACAAUGACCUGUUUUGUGGCAUGGAUCAGCCAUACAUGAAGCUGUAGGAAUUGUGUCCUAUCUGUCCAUUCAUAAAAUUCAGUCAAAUGUCUAAGUAUAGACGACUUGUUAAACAGAUUAGAUACAAUCAAGUGUUAUAUGUAUGCAUGUAUGUAUGUACGUACGUACGUACGUAUGUAUGUAUGUAUGUAUGUCUAUAUAUACACACACACACAUACAUAUAUAUAUAUAUAUAUAUAUAAUUAAUCAAUAUAGGGUGGCAAAAAAAAUUUUGUAGAAUUCUUUUGCCACCAGCGGCCUAGUAGGAAAAAAUUAAAUAGUCAUAAACCAUUUUUACGUUCAACAUCAACAAUCAAGGAACGGCCAUAAUAGGCCAUUCACGCACUAGAAAUAACAGCCAAAAGCUUUAACCGCAAAAUAACAUUAAUACCGUAAACCAGGAGAAAAUUGAAAAACUUUUACCCUGUAAUUUCUUAGACGAUGCACCGUUUCAUCUACCGUUUAAUGGUAAACUAACCUGAUUAAAUUAAAUCAAGCCAAUCCACCAUAGGCCCUUAGACUCAUCAGUAAGAAAUAGCCAAGUCGGAACAGAUAUUUUUCACGAGGCAUUCCUCUUGCUACCUCGGCAAUAUCUGACCUAAAAUUUUCAAAUCGUCGCACUCACCCCAAAUUUAUCGGCAGCAAAUAAAUAUAAGCCGUCGAUUCCAUUACGGAAUUAACCAGAAAAUUUAUAAUUAAUCAAUAUAGAGUGGCAAAAAAAAUUUUGUAGAAUUUUUUUGCCACCAGCGGCCUAGUAGGAAAAAAUUAAAUAGUCAUAGUCCAUUUUUACGUUCAACAUCACAAUCAAGGAACGGCCAUAAUAGGCCAUUCACGCACUAGAAAUAACAGCCAAAAGCUUUAACCGCAAAAUAACAUUAAUACCGUAAACCAGGACUAUUUAAUUUUUUCCUACUAGGCCGCUGGUGGCAAAAGAAUUCUACAAAAUUUUUUUUGCCACCCUAUAUUGAUUAAUUAUGAAUUUUCUCGUUAAUUCCGUAACGGAAUCGGUGGCUUCUAUUUAUUUGCUGCCGAUAAAUUUGGCGCGAGUGCGACGAUUUGAAAAUUUUAGGUCAGAUAUUGCCGAGGUAGCAAGAGGAAUGCCUCGUGAAAAAUAUCUGUUCCGACUUGGCUAUUUCUUACUGAUGAGUCUAAGGGCCUAUGGUGGAUUGGCUUGAUUUAAUUUAAUCAGGUUAGUUUACCAUUAAACGGUAGAUGAAACGGUGCAUCGUCUAAGAAAUUACAGGGUAAAAGUUUUUCAAUUUUCUCCUGGUUUACGGUAUUAAUGUUAUUUUGCGGUUAAAGCUUUUGGCUGUUAUUUCUAGUGGGUGAAUGGCCUAUUAUGGCCGUUCCUUGAUUGUGAUUAUAUAUAUAUAUAUAUAUAUAUAUAUAUAUAUAUAUAUAUAUAUAUAUAUAUACAUACGUUCAUACAUAUAUUCAUACAUACAUAUAUAUCACCUUGACCGACUAGUCCGUCAGGCAUCCAUUUGACACCGCUGGUCACAGCACACUGUCCACUCCUCUCUGGAUCGCGCCUUCCUCAUCCGCGUGAUCCCAAUCGUCCUCCUGAAAUCGUAACUCCACCGUCGUGGAGGCCUUCCGGGUGGUCGUUUCCACUCGCGCGGGUACCACUCGACAACUGCGCGUGUCCACAGAUUUUCGGUGAGCUGGGCGAUGUGUCCAGCCCAUCUAAACAUAUGUAUGUAUGUAUGUAUGUAUGUAUGUAUGUAUGUAUGUAUGUGUGUGUGUAUGUGUAUGUAUAUAAGUGAAUUAUAUUUCUGGAAUAUAUGUUGUUCACUUUGCGUAAAUCACUUUUUGUGAUGUAUCAAUGUUAUGACAUAUAUUUAUUAAUAUUUGUGUCCAUUUAUAUAUAUAUAUAUAUAUAUAUAUAUGUGUGUGUGUGUGUGUGUGUGUGUGUGUGUGUGUGUGUGUGUCUAUGUGUGUGUGUGUGUGUGUUUGUGCGUGUGUUUGUGUGUGUGUCUGUGUCUGCAUUUAUAUACUCACAAAUUCGCCCAUAUGUAAUUGUUUAAUUGUGGUGUCGCAUAAUAUUCUCUACUGUAUAUAUUUACACAAUGUAAUAUUUGUUAUAAAUGAAUGUUAUUAAUGGGAUGUGUUCAUGUUUUUGUUCCUCAGAUGUGUGUUUUGUGACGACGAAGUGGCCACAGAGACGUUCUUUCCAUGUAAACAUCUUUCGCUGUGUAAGAAAUGCUGUCCCCCAAAGAUACCUAAACAAUGCCUCAAGUGUGGACGGAAGAUAACGAGCAAAAAUAGUUUGGGUAAGAAUACUGUAUGAUCUGUCUGUUUGUCUCAUGGGCUUUAUGGUGUGGAAUAUUGUAUUUCCUGUUGUUGUUUAGAUCCAGUUUUGCGUUAAUCAAGCACACUUUUGAUAAAAGAUGUUCCAGGUGUCUUUUUCUCUGUCAUAUUAUGUCUCUCACUACUCCCACUAAACAUUGUUCUUGUCCAAUUAGAAGACUUGUCACACUUCAAGAUGGUUACUUUCUGCAACAUAAAAAUAAUAAAGAAUACUGAAUUAUAAAUGGUGACUAAAUACCAAUAAAUCACCAAGGUUCUAUCAGUAAAUACCGACAUCUUGUGUGUGAUUAGAGUGAUUAAUGAUUUAUCAAUAUCUUCGGAAGCUGAAAAUUAAAAACAACUGCGUUUAUAUGAAUAUCAGAGUGAGCCUUUAUAAAAUAGGAGACUCAAUAAGAAAAUCUCAACUGAGGGUUUAGGGACCAACAUUAGAGAGGGGACAUCAAAAGGUUGGGAAACUUUGAUUGAUGUAUAGAUUAGUAUUCCCGAGUAUCAGUUCUUCUGAACCGUUUCAAAUAUUUUCACAGCAAUAAUGUGUGGACAAGUUUUAUGUCGUUAAUGAGGUUUUGUGUGAAUGUAGUGUGUUAAUUUAGGACACGAGAUAUCACUUCCUGUUAGACCUGAUGUCACUUUCUGUUCGACCUGCUUUAUUCAGGAGGAUGAAUGACAUUGGAAUAUCUUCAGAUAUUUCCCCAAAUCUGAUUACAUUCUGGAGAACUGUGAUGUGGGUAAUUAAGAUUAAAGAUUACUAGUAGUAACCAAUAACAAAGAGAACAGGUAUAUAUAUAUAUAUAUAUAUAUAUAUAUACAUAUAUAUAUAUCCUGAAGUGGUGUUUCGUGUUUGGGGUUGAUAUUCGAUGCGCAACUUGGUUGACAUUUGAACUCAGCAGAAGAUGAGACGAAUAUUGAUUAGAGAUCUCUGGAGGUGAAAUGACGAUGUCUUGUCAAAGAUCUGGAACAAACAUAAGAAAACCAAAACGAAACUAAGAGAGAAUCUGUUGUUAUUAGGUGAUAAUUAAAUGAGAUAAUUUCAGAAUUGUUAGAAUUGCUGGAUGCCUUAAGAGACAGAGAAGGGUUGUUAAGUGUAGUUUAGGCUGUUGUGGACCUAAAUUUUGAAUCGUUACAUAGUAAUACUCAAGAAAUUAUACAAAUGCUCUCCAAAAGCAUGAUGGUCACCAGUUGACCAAUGAUGAUAGGAUUGUCUAACAAUAAUAAAAUAUCGAUUAUUAAUAAUGAUAAAGAACUUUUUCUACAGUGUUUAAAACAUGAAAUUGUUUAUUUCAGAGGGUCCAAAGUCGUCAAAACCGGAAGUCCAGAUGUUGGCAGAACCACCUGG
rnacentral:lncRNA from 1 species